rnacentral:rRNA from 1 species
GACGGAGGAUGCAAGCGUUAUCCGGAAUGAUUGGGCGUAAAGCGUCCGCAGGUGGCAGUUCAAGUCUGCUGUCAAAGACCGGGGCUUAACUUCGGAAAGGCAGUGGAAACUGAACAGCUAGAGUAUGGUAGGGGCAGAAGGAAUUCCUGGUGUAGCGGUGAAAUGCGUAGAUAUCAGGAAGAACAUCGGUGGCGAAGGCGCUCUGCUGGACCAUAACUGACACUCAGGGACGAAAGCUAGGGGAGCGAAUGGG